GACGUAGUGCAAUGCUUGUGCUCCUGCCACCAGAGCCAGCAUCGCGGACACAGCAGUCGGCGACGCUGCUUAACAGGCUGCUCAGGUUUUCUUCAUAAUGUAUAAAGUGCCCAUCUUCCUCUACCGCAAGCGGCGACGGCACAUGUUUUAGGUUUGUUUAGCCACAGACGUAGUGCAAUGCUUGUGCUCCUGCCACCAGAGCCAGCAUCGCGGACACAGCAGUCGGCGACGCUGCUUAACAGGCUGCUCAGGGGUAUCUAUAUGCACAACCAUGUUACUACUACUACUAGUA